CAGUCAUAGAACUGUCCCUACUUUGUAAUAGCAUCUUAUCUAGAGCAAGCCCGUUUCCUUCAAAACUUCCCAAAAUAAUCCAGCCCAAUCCCAAUUCUUGUAAUAGGUUCUUAUACUUCUUACUGCAACAGCACACGGUUCACCAUGGUGUGUGUUUCUUCACUGCAGAUCAUCACUAUUCACUUUAAAGAAGAUAGCAUGUUACCAAAAACAACACAAAGCAAAAACCAUACAAGUGUCUUCCCAGGUCAUGAAAAGCUAGGCAGUCCACUUGAAGCUACAGGACAAACACUCCAGACCCUAGUCAUUCAAUCAUUUACUGAGCUUCACACCCAGCAUGGAGCCCAACACAGGGCUUGAACUCAUGACCUUGAGAUCAAGACCUGAUCUGAGUUCGAGUCGAAUGCUCAACCAACUAAGCCAUCCAGGUACUCCUAUUUCCACAUUUUUUUAUGCUUUUAAAUUAGUUGGUAAGUGAAGAGAGUGGGUCGCCACACAUUUGGUGUAAUGAUAUUGCUGGGAAGGUGUCAUCUUGAUGUACACAAAGCCUCCUUACUGAUGCUGAAAUGGAACUGUGAUAUGAGAUUAGGGAAAUUCCUACAGCUUGUAUAUAUUCCUGCAGCACAUUAAACAUUUAUGUCCAGAUCUGAAUUUGUUUCAAACCUCCUUUGUUGCUCUCUCUUUCGCUCUGCCAACUGAAUGGGUAAGGGAUUCAGCCUCCUGUGCUAGGGCUUUUCCUAAGGGAAAGAGCUGGUAUACUUCAUUUUUUAUAUAAACAGGCUGAUUUCCUGUUUCUCUAAGACUCCAUUUUGUGUACUGAAAGAAAAACAAAAGAAAGAUGCAGUUGAUUAAGUCCAUUCCCCAAGGGUAUUGUACUGGGCCAAAGAUAUACUGUAUGUGAUUGCUUUCGUUGAUAUUUGGUGUGCUUAUAAAAAAUAACAAUAGCAAGCAUUUAUUAGGUUUUAAUGUUGUAACAGUUGCAAGUACCUUACAUUUCAUUUUUAAUCUUUCUGAUAGCCUAUGAAGAAGGUGUUAUUAUUUCCAUUUGAUAAAGAUGAGGAAACUGAGCCUCAGAGAGUUGAAGUGGCUUGCCCAAGGCACACAGUCAGUCAGUGUUGGAGCUGGAAUUUUAGCACAGGCAGGCAGACUAUAGAUUCCAUGCUCUUAGCGAGGAAUUGGCAAAUUUUUCUGUAAGGCGAUAGAUAAUAAAUCUAUUUAGGCUUCGUAGGCCAUAUAGUCUCUUUUGCAAGUACUCACCUCUGCUGUUGUAGAAUAAAAGCAGUCAUAAACAAUAUAUAAAUUAAUGGAAAAGGCUGUGUCCAAUAAAGCUUUAUUUACAAAAACAAAUGGAGGGAUGUAGACUUUGGGCUAUUCAUUUGUUGAACUCUGCUCUUAACCACUAUGAAAUAUUGUCACAAUGUUAAGGAUUAAUGAUUCAUGAAUAACCAAGGUGUUUUCCUUAUUCUUCUAUGCUCUUAGUCUUAUAGAAUGAAAAGUCAAAAGGAUACUUAAUAUUUGUAACCUUUUGUUUAUAAAAUAUUUCCAUAUAGGUGGCCCAGUUAGUUAAGUGUGACUCGGUUUUGGCUCAGGUCAUGAUCUUGCAGUUCAUGGGUUUGAGCCCCACAUCAGCUCUGCACUGACAGUGCAGAGCUUACUUGGGAUUCUCUCUCUCCCUCUCUCCCUGCCCCUCCCCUGCUUGCAUUCUCUCUCUCAAAAUAAAUGAAUAAACUUAAAAAAAUUUAAAGUAUUUCCAUAUUUAUAUUUACAUAUACAUUUAUUUAUAUAAAUGUACAUAUUUAGAUGUGCAGGUAUACAUGAACAUAGACAUGCAGGUACACACAGGGGUAUGUGUGCAUGUGUUUGGGAUA